rnacentral:tRNA from 1 species
UGGAGAAGUACUCAAGUGGCUGAAGAGGCGCCCCUGCUAAGGGUGUAGACCGUUCGCGCGGUGCGAGGGUUCAAAUCCCUCCUUCUCCGU